AGACAUGGACGACGUGUGUCAAAGUCCAGUAUCCGUCUUUAUUAGCUUAUUACCUGAUACGGGUUCUACUUAUACCCAAGAUAACAAAGUUAUUCUUAUGAGUUGGCAUAGUGCUUGUAGCCUGUUUCGACUCAGCCGCGGAUCGGCCUGGUAUUGCACUACGUUGGGGAUUGGCCCACGGUUC